UCGCCUCGCCUCAGCCCGCUGGAAUCGUUCCCCUCAGCGCCUCACCCGCACCGAGGGGCGCUCCCCUCAGCGCCUCACCUCACAUCCCCCGGAGUUGCCCCCUCAGCGCCUUGUCCCGCUCCCCCAGGGUCGCCCCCCCGGGGAUCUCGCCCCCUCACGCAAUGGCCGCUCCCCUCAGCUCCCCAUCUCCCGCCACCGCUUCCUCAGCCCCAGAGCUGCUCCCUCAGCCCCUCACCCCGAGGGAGGGUGAGGCCACCAUUCCCCUAAGGGUUUCACCCUUCAGCUUCACCCACUUGGCCGAUAAGGCCCUUCUGAAUAGACCCUUUUCCCUCUUGGUCCCUCACGUUCCCCACAGGGUUGUUUCUCCCCUCCUGCACCUCUGCUCACCUGUAUUUUGUCUGCUCCCCCAUAGAAUAAUCUCCCUUUCUCCAUGCCUUGUCCCUCUCUGUCACCUCCUCACGGGAAUCCUGUCACCUCUCAAGCAGCUUUUUCCCAAAGGACUUGUGAGCAAACAGGUAUGUCCCUUAAAAUCCAUACCUCCAGAUUUAUCCAUGCAAUGAGGAUGCCAGAGGGUGUGAAGCAAAAGGGUUGCAACAGCACAGUAUGCAUGGAAAAAAUGGGAUGCAAAGGAAAAUUGAUCUUUCUGUCUUUUAGCCUCUCAUUUUGACAGCAUCACAUAACCUUCCUCAUUUUCAUCAGCCUAAUUUCACCCUCAGCUGCCUCAGACCUCGACCUGAGCCUGUUCAGAGACACAAAGUGUCACAGGCAGCUGUGCCUGGAUGUUCAGCAAAGUACUGGUGAGACAGAUCAUGCUAAUGAGAGAGAUGUGAUGGUAGAUGUUAAAUAUUCUUAGUGUAUAAUUGCUGUGGGGAUUCCCAUUACAAGUUCCUGCUUUUCAUGGAACAGUGACUCUGCACAACCAGAGACGGAACACCACGCAUUUAUUUACCUGUUUGAUCAGAUUAAAUUAUUUAAUAUAUUAGUGCAUUAUAACAAAUGUGCUGUGGUAUUGGAGGAAAAGCCUAUUCAGAGCUGGAGUAAGAUGAGAUCUACCUCCAAUGUUUUAUGUCCUAUUAAAUCUGGUUGGGAAGAAGCAUUAUUUCCAUGUAAUGGAUGACUACUCAACACGGGACCCACGCAAAGCCUCUUUGUAUCCCUGAUUCAGCAAUGUGAGCACUCACACAACUGUGCAGCUUGUUUUUGAGGCCAGUUCAUUUGAAACAGGGUUCAGGUAAGUUCGUACAACCAGUUAUUUAGAGAUCUGUGUGAUAGCUCAGUACACUGUAUUUGGUAUCCCUGCCAUUCAUGUGUCGGAGUGUAGAAGAGUCUCCAGGCCUGGUUUUAUUACAGAAAUAGAUAUUAUUUGCCUCUGUGCUGGAGUAAUUUUUGAACAGGGAGGGUAUGGAGAGCUGCCAUCAAAGGUUUUUGUGAGGCAGAAACUUCAUGGGCAUCUGUUAUUUUUGGUCCAGACACAACACAGAGAACAGGGGCUGCAGAUGGACCCUGAUCCUCCCGUGGGAGCCCUGCGAGGACUCAGAGGAGAGGGAAUGCUGAGAUUUGAAGAUUUUAUGGCAGGUGGGACGUGGCAGCUGAGUUCUGGCAGGCCACGUAUUCUGGAAGUCUCAUCAUUCCUCUGGGAUUUCCUCCAACUCGUCCACACCUCCCUUGAGCUGCUGCUAUUUAGAUGAACCCUCACCAAUGUGAAAUGUUCUGGACAGAUUCCUGUCUUCCAUGUAAUUCUGCUGCUCGGUGUCUCCGUGUCCUCUCUGCUCUCCCUGCAGCUGGGUGAUAUUGUUGCCUCAUUCUGGGCUUGUAAAUGAAAUAACAACUUCCACUUCAAUUCUGUUUGUGGUGUUUCAUGUGCACAAGCAAAGCAAGCUGGCAUUUAACACUGCUCUCCCUAAUCUCAUGUCUCAUUUUCUUACUCAAGUAGCCUUUCAUGGAGGGAAGGAUCUAAAUGCUGCCCAUCAGUGAGGAAGAGUGUUUGGGAGCUGAACAGAUCCCUGAGUGGUUGUCCUGAAUUUCUGAAUCUCAAAUGUCUCAGAAGGCUCAUUAUUAAUAUCCAAAAAUAGACAGAUGGCACAAACCAGUAAAGGCCAAAUAAUUCAUCAUUCCACAGAUUUGGGCUGGACUGGCCUGCAGGUGAAGCCAGGAUGGAUGAAAAUCAUUUCAUGCUGUUACAGAUCAGCCUGUUUCUCCUAAGGAUCCUGGUCCCAAAGGAUCCUCAUUCCAGGAGCAAAGCCAGUGGCUGCCUCCUUGAGACUGUUCCUGACACAGCAGCUGGACAGAGCCAGGCUGGAACUGCACCCAUGGGGUCACUGCACAUC